UCUUACAAUUCAUUAUCUCAAUUUACAAUACAUGUCCACACAACUCUAAUCUAUUACAAAAGCACAACCUUAACUCUUGAGACUUCCCGGACGACUUCAGACCUGCAACACUGGGGUUAGGGGAAAGGGGUGAGCUAAAAAGCCCAGUGAGUAGAAACAAAGAAAACAGUUCGUUAAUUAUAUACUUUCAUGAAAUGCGUCACAACACAAAUAAAUCAUAUCACGGAUUGGAACUAACCCCAAAACAUCCCUUCCAGUCUCAGUAUGCC
rnacentral:lncRNA from 1 species